rnacentral:ncRNA from 1 species
AUAUCGUCAAUGAUCAGGAAGAGUACACAUAACAAGAGAGUCUUAGCGAGCCAAUGACGGUGAAAGUUUGGCACUUCUCGGUGUGUGGAAUGGGCCUGGGAGAUGCAGUCCGAGCCAAGGGUUUGGGGUAGGUGCUGCCGGAAGCUUCCUCCGUUACAUGGGAAGAAGGUAUCGGACACGGUUGUCCUGUAUCUUAGCAUGAGCGGGCUAUUUUCAUAGCCAAUCAGGGUGGUAUCGCGUGAGUCAUCAUAACCUCUCGUCCCUACG